rnacentral:hammerhead_ribozyme from 1 species
AUCCGACUGAUGAGUCCUAAAUAGGACGAAACGCAUGUCUUGGAU